UAUGUGAUCGUCUCUCGCAUAUCAAUAAGCGGAGGAAAAGAAACUAACAAGGAUUCCCCUAGUAACGGCGAGUGAAGCGGGAAGAGCUCAAAUUUGAAAUCUUAAAGGGUUUCCCUUUACGAAUUGUAGUUCAAAGAAGUGUUUUCUGUUGAGGUUUUGGUAAAAGUUCUUUGGAAUAGGACAUCAUAGAGGGUGAGAAUCCCGUAUUUGACCUUUACUUUCAACUUUGUGAUACACUUUCAAAGAGUCGGAUUGUUUGGGAAUGCAGUCCAAAAUGGGUGGUAAAUUUCAUCUAAAGCUAAAUAUUGGCGAGAGACCGAUAGCGAACAAGUACCGUGAGGGAAAGAUGAAAAGAACUUUGAAAAGAGAGUUAAACAGUACGUGAAAUUGUCAAAAGGGAAGCGUUUGACACCAGUGUUGUUUUUCUGAAAAUCAAUUAAAGAACUGUUUAUGCUAAGCUGUUUAGACUUUAUCAGCUAUCUGUUUAGUUUUGAGCUUUUCUUUAAUGCACUUUUCAGUUAACAAGUCAACAUCAAUUUCUUUUGCUGUAAAAAAGCUUGAGGAAGGUGGCUUGAGAUUCGUCUUAAGUGUUUAUAGCCUCUUGCCUAUGCAGUCGGAGAGAUUGAGGUCUGCAGCGUAGAUCCUUCGGGGCUAAAUGCAUUUGUGCUAAGUUAUAGCAUUUUAUAGACAACUUGUUGACUAUGAUUUGUCUUGUAGCUUACUCGCUUAUGUUAUUUUACCUACGCUUAGGAUGUUGAUCUACAGAGCGAGAGU
rnacentral:rRNA from 1 species